rnacentral:rRNA from 1 species
AGAGUUUGAUCAUGGCUCAGAACGAACGCUGGCGGCGUGCUUAACACAUGCAAGUCGAACGAGAAAAUUUUCUUCGGAAAACGAGUAAAGUGGCGCACGGGUGAGUAACGCGUAGAUAACCUGCCUGAAUGUCUGGGAUAACCCUUCGAAAGGGGGACUAAUACCGGAUACGCUGGUUUCUCAUAAGGGAAAUCAGGAAAGAUGGCCUCUGAUGUAAGCUAUCGCAUUUUGAGGGGUCUGCGUACCAUUAGCUUGUUGGUGGGGUAACGGCCUACCAAGGCGACGAUGGUUAGCGGGUCUGAGAGGAUGAUCCGUCACACUGGCACUGAAACACGGGCCAGACUCCUACGGGAGGCAGCAGUGAGGAAUAUUGCGCAAUGGGGGAAACCCUGACGCAGCGACGCCGCGUGAGUGAGGAAGGCCUUCGGGUCGUAAAGCUCUGUCAGAAGGGAAGAAGUGUUCAACGGUUAAUACCCGUUGGAUUUGACGGUACCUUCAAAGGAAGCACCGGCUAACUCCGUGCCAGCAGCCGCGGUAAUACGGAGGGUGCAAGCGUUGUUCGGAAUCACUGGGCGUAAAGGGCGCGCAGGCGGUUUGAUUAGUCAGAUGUGAAAGCCCACGGCUCAACCGUGGAAGUGCAUUUGAAACUAUCA